rnacentral:tRNA from 3 species
AGUAGUAAAGGCUAAAGAGAAGCGUUGGCCUUGUAAGUCAAAAAUUGAGGCUUUGCCUCUUACUGCUU